AAUGUGAUAUGACUAUCAAAGAUUUUGUGGUCCAUGUUCCACAGGUAAAUUCUAAGUUUUGAGGGAUUUGUAAGAAAUCUUUGAGGGAACUGGCUCAGUGUUACAUUUCAGCACAUAGCAUGCAAUUCUGACAAUGUAAACUCUGUUACUUUAUAAAUGUAAAGUUUUUUUAACUUUGAAGUUAGAAAAAUCUUUUAAAUAUUGAAACCAACCUAUAAUUGCUUGCAAAUUCAGGUAAA